UACGGGGGGGGCAAGCGUUGUUCGGAAUUACUGGGCGUAAAGGGCUCGUAGGUGGCCAACUAAGUCAGACGUGAAAUCCCCGGGCUCAACCCGGGAACUGCGUCCGAUACUGGGGGGCUUGAAUCCGGGAGAGGGAUGUGGAAUUCCAGGUGUAGCGGUGAAAUGCGUAGAUAUCUGGAGGAACACCGGUGGCGAAGGCGGCAUCCUGGACCGGUAUUGACGCUGAGGCGCGAAAGCCAGGGGAGCAAAGCGGG
rnacentral:rRNA from 1 species